GUGGCGGACGGGUGAGUAACGCGUGGGCAACCAACCCUGUACAGUGGGAUAACACCGGGAAACCGGUGCUAAUACCGCAUGAUACUUAAUCAGUGCAUACUGUUUAGGUUAAAGGGCAAAACCGGUACAGGACGGGCCCGCGUCCCAUUAGCUAGUUGGUGAGGUAACGGCUCACCAAGGCGACGAUGGGUAGCCGACCUGAGAGGGUGACCGGCCACACUGGGACUGAGACACGGCCCAGACUCCUACGGGAGGCAGCAGUGGGGAAUAUUGCGCAAUGGACGAAAGUCUGACGCAGCGACGCCGCGUGAGCGAAGAAGGCCUUCGGGUCGUAAAGCUCUGUUCUUGGGGACGAAUAAGGUGACGGUACCCAAGGAGAAAGCCCCGGCUAACUACGUGCCAGCAGCCGCGGUAAUACGUAGGGGGCGAGCGUUGUCCGGAAUUACUGGGCGUAAAGGGCGUGUAGGCGGCCGAGCAAGUCAAGUGUGAAAAGCCCCG
rnacentral:rRNA from 1 species